UACGUAGGGUGCGAGCGUUGUCCGGAAUUACUGGGCGUAAAGAGCUCGUAGGUGGUUUGUCGCGUUGUCCGUGAAAACUCACAGCUUAACUGUGGGCGUGCGGGCGAUACGGGCAGACUGGAGUACUGCAGGGGAGACUGGAAUUCCUGGUGUGGCGGUGAAAUGCGCAGAUAUCAGGAGGAACACCGGUGGCGAAGGCGGGUCUCUGGGCCGAUACUGACGCUGAGGAGCGAAAGCGUGGGGAGCGAACAGG
rnacentral:rRNA from 1 species